UAUUUUCAAAGGAUGGUGUAGAGUAUUAUCAAAUGAUGGUGUAGAGUAUUAUCAAAGGAUGGUGAAGUGUAUUUUCAAAGGAUGGUGUAGUGUAUUAUCAAAGGAUGAUGAAGUGUAUUUUCAAAGGAUGGUGUAGUGUGUUAUCAAAGGAUGGUGUAUAGUAUUAUCAAAGGAUGGUGAAGUGUAUUAUCAAAGGAUGAUGUAGUGUAUUAUCAAAGGAUGGUGUAGUGUAUUUUCAAAGGAUGGUGUAGUGUAUUUUCAAAGGAUAGUGUAGUGUAUUUUCAAAGGAUGGUGUAGUGUAUUUUCAAAGGAUGGUGUAGAGUAUUAUCAAAAGGAUGGUGUAAGAGUAUUAUCAAAGGAUGGUGUAGAGUAUUACCAAAGGAUGGUGUAGUGUAUUUUCAAAGGAUGGUGUAGAGUGUAUUAUCAAAGGAUGAUGUAGUGUAUUAUCAAAGGAUGGUGUAGUGUAUUUUCAAAGGAUGGUGUAGAGUAUUAUCAAAGGUUGGUGUAGAGUAUUAUCAAAGAAUGGUGAAGUGUAUUUUCAAAGGAUAGUGUAGAGUAUUAUCAAAGGAUGAUGUAGUGUAUUAUCAAAGGAUGGUGUAGUGUAUUAUCAAAGGAUGGUGUAGUGUACUUUCAAAGGUUGGUGUAGUGUAUUUUCAAAGGAUGGUGUACCGGUAGUGUAUUUUCAAAGGAUGGUGUAGAAUUUCAUAUUUUACCAGAAAAAGGCAUUGAAAAUGUACAUUUUGAAAAAAUAUAUAGAAUAGUUUCUGAACUAUUUUCACGAAAUUAAUUUAGUAGCUAACCAGAUGCUCCGCAGGGCGCAGCUUUAUACGACCGCAAAGGUUGAACCCUGAACGGUUGGGGCAAGUAUGGACACAACAUUCAAGCUGGAUUCAGCUCUAAAUUUGGAUUGUGAUUAAAUAGUUGACACAGCAUAGGUUUCGGACACAGAAUGAAUGUGGUCUAAUGAACUUAAAAUAUUUAUUUUGCCUUUGAGCAAUUCACUAUGCUGUUGAAUAUUAAUCCUCUCAAAAAAAUGUUUGAAGAAAUUUUCUUUUUA
rnacentral:lncRNA from 1 species